rnacentral:misc_RNA from 1 species
AUCUAUCAAUACCAACACCGAACAAUGUGAACUUUGCUUGUCGGCCCGCUGAGGUGGAUUCAGUUCCGCCCCGGUGCAGCCUGGGCCUUCACGGGUUCAGGCCGGGUUCGCCCACAUCCAAGGCGACUUGGAUGUGAAGCGCGCUGGCCCCCCAAACAAACCAAACCAAUUAACACCAAACCAAAACCUUUCUUGAAUCUUAUUAAAUGCGGUAGGCCCGGCCUCCGCAUCUAACUAAGACAACUCUCAACAACGGAUAUCUUGGCUCUCGCAACGAUGAAGAACGCAGCGAAAUGCGAUACGUAGUGUGAAUUGCAGAAUUCCGUGAACCAUCGAAUCUUUGAACGCAUAUUGCGGUCGAGGCUUCUGCCGAGACCAUGUCUGCCUCAGCGUCGGGUUUAUAUCACUCCCCUCAUGCCUUGUGCAUGAUUGUGAGAGUGGACCUGGCCGUUCCAGCGAAGCUCCCGUUCAACGCACUUUCGUGUUGAGCGGACCAAGGCUCUGGAUCGGCUGAAGAUCAGAGUUCUGACCGAGGACCCUUCUAAGGGCCGCAACUGGGUGGGCAUUUCCAAUGCUAAGCUUUAGUUGUUGGCCUGGGAUUUCGGUUGACGACCUCAAACAGGAAACCCACAUUCAACUUAUAUUCUCGA